rnacentral:rRNA from 1 species
GUGUCAGCAGCCGCGGUAAAACGUAGGAUCCGAGCGUUAUCCGAAUUCACUGGGCGUAAAGCGCGUGCAGGCGGUUCGGUAAGUUGGAUGUGAAAUCUCCCGGCUCAACUGGGAGGGGACGUUCAAUACUGUCGGACUCGAGGACGGUAGAGGGAGGUGGAAUUCCCGGUGUAGUGGUGAAAUGCGUAGAUAUCGGGAGGAACACCAGUGGCGAAGGCGGCCUCCUGGACCGUACCUGACGCUCAGACGCGAAAGCUAGGGGAGCGAACGGGAUUAGAAACCCGUGUAGUCC